GCUGGUGGUCAUAGCGCCUGUGCCCCACCCGGUCCCAUCCCGAACCCGGCCGUGAAACCAGGCAGCGCCGAUGGUACUUAUGCUUAAGCAUUGGAAGAGUAGGUCGCCGCCAGCC
rnacentral:rRNA from 2 species